AAAUUGAAGAGUUUGAUCAUGGCUCAGAUUGAACGCUGGCGGCAGGCCUAACACAUGCAAGUCGAACGGUAGCACAGAGAGCUUGCUCUCGGGUGACGAGUGGCGGACGGGUGAGUAAUGUCUGGGAAACUGCCUGAUGGAGGGGGAUAACUACUGGAAACGGUGGCUAAUACCGCAUAACGUCGCAAGACCAAAGAGGGGGACCUUCGGGCCUCUUGCCAUCAGAUGUGCCCAGAUGGGAUUAGCUAGUUGGUGAGGUAACGGCUCACCAAGGCGACGAUCCCUAGCUGGUCUGAGAGGAUGACCAGCCACACUGGAACUGAGACACGGUCCAGACUCCUACGGGAGGCAGCAGUGGGGAAUAUUGCACAAUGGGC
rnacentral:rRNA from 2 species